AGCGGGUUAGAGAAACGGUCAUCUCGUCGGUCUCAUAAGCCGAAGAUAGGGGGUUCAAUUCCUCCACCCGCUA
rnacentral:tRNA from 1 species